UACGUAGGGUGCAAGCGUUGUCCGGAAUUAUUGGGCGUAAAGAGCUCGUAGGCGGUCUGUUGCGUCGGCUGUGAAAACCCGGGGCUCAACUCCGGGCCUGCAGCCGAUACGGGCAGACUAGAGUUCGGCAGGGGAGACUGGAAUUCCUGGUGUAGCGGUGAAAUGCGCAGAUAUCAGGAGGAACACCGGUGGCGAAGGCGGGUCUCUGGGCCGAUACUGACGCUGAGGAGCGAGAGCGUGGGGAGCGAACAGG
rnacentral:rRNA from 1 species